rnacentral:rRNA from 1 species
GAUGAACGCUGGCGGCGUGCCUAACACAUGCAAGUCGAGCGAUUCUCUUCAGAGAAGAGCGGCGGACGGGUGAGUAACGCGUGGGUAACCUGCCCUGUACACACGGAUAACAUACCGAAAGGUAUGCUAAUACGCGAUAAUAUGCUUUUAUCGCAUGGUAGAAGUAUCAAAGCUUUUGCGGUACAGGAUGGACCCGCGUCUGACGAGCUAAUUGGUAAGGUAACGGCUUACCAAGGCGACGAUCAGUAGCCGACCUGAGAGGGUGAUGCGGCCACAUUGGAACUGAGACACGGUCCAAACUCCUACGGGAGGCAGCAGUGGGGAAUAUUGCACAAUGGGCGAAAGCCUGAUGCAGCAACGCCGCGUGAGCGAUGAAGGCCUUCGGGUCGUAAAACUCUGUCCUCAAGGAAGAUAAUGACGGUACUUGAGGAGGAAGCCCCGGCUAACUACGUGCCAGCCGCCGCGGUAA